GCCGGGCGUGGUGGCGCAUGCCUGUAAUCCCAGCUACUCGGGAGGCUGAGGCAGGAGAAUCACUUGAACCCGGGAGGCGGAGGUUGUAGUGAGCCGAGAUGGUGCCACUGCACUCCAGCCUGGGCGACAGAGUGAGAUUUAGUCUCAA
rnacentral:SRP_RNA from 1 species